rnacentral:rRNA from 1 species
UGGGGAAUAUUGGACAAUGGGGGCAACCCUGAUCCAGCAAUGCCGCGUGUGUGAAGAAGGUCUUCGGAUUGUAAAGCACUUUCGACGGGGACGAUGAUGACGGUACCCGUAGAAGAAGCCCCGGCUAACUUCGUGCCAGCAGCCGCGGUAAUACGAAGGGGGCUAGCGUUGCUCGGAAUGACUGGGCGUAAAGGGCGUGUAGGCGGUUUACACAGUCAGAUGUGAAAUCCCCGGGCUUAACCUGGGAGCUGCAUUUGAUACGUGUAGACUAGAGUGUGAGAGAGGGUUGUGGAAUUCCCAGUGUAGAGGUGAAAUUCGUAGAUAUUGGGAAGAACACCGGUGGCGAAGGCGGCAACCUGGCUCAUGACUGACGCUGAGGCGCGAAAGCGUGGGGAGCAAACAGGAUUAGAUACCCUGGUAGUCCACGCUGUAAACGAUGUGUGCUAGAUGUUGGGUAACUUUGUUAUUCAGUGUCGCAGUUAACGCGUUAAAGCACACCGCCUGGGGGAGU